UGCCUAAUAUUCUUUUUGUAUUAUCAUAUUCGUCUGUCCUUCCGGUUUAAAACCAGCUGGGAUCUUUCUAUUGUUACUUUUUAAAUGUUAAUACAUAUUUUCAUAAAUAUUUUUUCUUUUCUUAUCAUCGCCAAUUCAUGUUCUCAUGAUUCCCGAGGAGGUCAGCAGUGUUUCACGCCCGAACACCAUCUUGGGACUUGUGUGGCGCUCAGCCAUUGCCACCAGUUGACAGAAGUCUACAAUUUUAGAUACGAUCGCGUAGGUACACAAUAUGUGCUCGCCUUGCACCGCAGUUGUGGAACGCGGAGUGUCAACGGAGUACCAAUUGUAUGUUGUCCAAGACCAAGCACAACAACAACGACAACAAUACUUCCAAUACCAGAAGGGACCUCAACAACAACAACAACCACAACACCACAACCAACCUCAACAACCAGAAAACCAGAACAUACCUCAACCACAUCAAUCUCACCGCCUAUAGAUCUUCGGUUAAACAGUUGUCUAUUGUCACCCGGAGUGUAUGGCGAAUGCAUCGACAUCAAGAGAUGUCCCUCCAUAUUUAAUCAGCUAAAGGCUAAGGGAAACGAUCCUGAACUAGUCAAAUUUAUAAAAGCUUCGAAUUUACUUUGCGACAACGUCGGCCAAAAUGUCUGUUGUCCCACAGAGCCAGGUCCGCGUCGCUUGCCCACUGAAAAUGAGGGUUGUGGUGAACCAAACUUGGUCAGUUUUAGGAAAAUCGUAGGCGGCGAUGAGGCAAUGAAAGGUGCUUAUCCAUGGAUCGCACUGCUAGGAUAUGGUGAUAGUUCCCUUUCGAUCUUCAAAUGUGGCGGAAGUUUGAUUACGGCCAGACAUGGAUGACACAGGAUGGACACAGGAUGAUCUGUCGUUUGUGCGCCUCGGAGAGCACGAUCUUUCUACCGACACUGACACUUCGCACAUGGACAUCAACAUAGUCAAGAAGGUGUCCCAUUCC